rnacentral:tRNA from 1 species
GACAACGUGGCCGAGCGGUUAAGGCGUUAGACUUGAAAUCUAAUCUCCUCUGGAGUCGUAGGUUCGAACCCUGCCGUUGUCG